rnacentral:rRNA from 1 species
GUAGUCUGCAACUCGACUACAUGAAGCUGGAAUCGCUAGUAAUCGCGAAUCAGAAUGUCGCGGUGAAUACGUUCCCGGGUCUUGUACACACCGCCCGUCACACCAUGGGAGUCGGAAAUGCCCGAAGUCAGUGACCUAAACCGAGAGGGAGGAGCUGCCGAAGGUGGAGCCGGUAACUGGGGUGAAGUCGUAACAAGGUAAC